UGGAGGUUCCAAAGUCCAAAGUGGAGGUUCCAAAGUCCAAACUUCCACUUUUCUUCUCGUUGUCUCAAUGAUUAUACACCUCAGAAGAAUAAACCCACUUGAAUUCAGGUCUCCAAAUCGCUCCCCUCUCAGACUAUUCUCAACUCUCUUACAAAACCCAUCUCCACCCCCUAAAACCCAAACCCAAAACCCCACAGAAACGCUCACAAAACCCCAACUCAAAGCAUUAGUUCUCACUCAAUACUCACAUGGCAAAUUCUCCAAUCUUGUCUCAAAUGUCCUUGCUUUGCCCAAUGUCCUCCUCACUGCCUGCCAAAACCUCACCACCUCACAAUCCAACAAUGCCCUCAACUCCCUUGACUCGCAGUCUCUUCUCAACUCGGUCUCGAGGCGGUUUGAUAUCGAAGAAAUGGGCCGCCAGCUAUGUGAGAAUCGGUUUGAUAUUGAAGCUUGUUGUGUCACAAUGAUGCCCUCAAGAAUGAAAGGUGAGUCCUUGGUCUUGCCCAACUUGAAAUUAAAGGUUUUGAUUGAAGCUAUUAGGAUGGUAUUGGAAAUUGUGUAUGAUGAACGGUUUGUAACUUUUUCUUAUGGUGGGCGUGUCGGUAUGGGACGCCACACAGCCAUUAGGUACCUUAAGAACUCGGUAGAGAAUCCUAGUUGGUGGUUUAGUGUCACAUUUGAUAGAGAAAGGUUUGAUGAUAGGCAUGUGAAUAAGUUGUGUUUGUUUAUUGAAGAGAAAAUAAAAGAUGAUUUUUUGAUUGGUUUAAUAAAGAGGUUGUUUGAGUGUGAGGUGGUGGGAAUUGAAUUGGGUGGUUGUUACUUAGGAAGGGGGUUUCCUCAAGAAAGCGGGUUGUGUUCGAUCUUGAUUAAUAUUUACUUUAAUGGAUUUGAUAAAGAAAUUCAAGAUAUGCGUCUUCAGAAAAAUCAGGAGAAUCCAAAGUUUAAAUCAGAGCAGCUUGUUUGGAUGUCUGGCCUAUUUUAUAAGCCAGUGAAGAUGUACGUGGUCAGGUAUUUGGAUGAAAUAUUAGUGAUAACGUCGGGGUCUAAGAUGUUGACCAUGGACUUUAAGAAUUGGGUUUUGAAAUAUUUAGAAGGUAGGUUGGAUUUGAGGGUGGAUAAAAUGAAGACGGCAAUUCAUAGUGCAGUAUCUGAGAAUAUUAGUUUUCUAGGUAUGGAACUACAGGCAGUUCCACCUUCAGUUUUGCAUCCUCCCAUGAGUGAGAAAGCAAUUAGGGCACGGAAGAAGUACCUUAGGCAGAAGGAAGUUAGAGCUUUAGAAUUUAAAAAUGCCAGAGAGAGGAAAAGAAAGAUACUGGGGAUGAAGAUAUUGCAGCAUGUUUUUAAGAAGUUGAAGCAAAGUGAUGGGUUUAAAUUUGACUUUCAAAUUGAAAAUGAGGUUCGAGAAAUCUUCAGAACUUGGACUGAUGAAGUGGUCCAUGAUUUCUUGGGUUCCUUGGAAGAGCGUUGGGAAUGGCAUCGGAUGCUUACAGCAGGCGAUUUUCUCUCUUUAAGGCACAUUAGAGGUCAAUUGCCCCAAGAGCUGGUUGAUGCGUAUGAUAAGUUCCAAGAGCAAGUUGACAAGUAUUUGAGUCCGGUCCAAGCUAGAAAGGCAUUAGAGAAAGAAGAAAAGAGAGUGGAGGAGGAAGAGGAACAGAAAUACGCUAAGAGCACGGUUGAGGAUUUGACAAGGCUGUGUAUGAAAGUUGAUGCACCAGUAGAACUUGUUAGGAAGGCAGUUAAGAUGGCUGGUUUUACAAAUAACAUGGGUCGCCCUAGGCCGAUCAAGUUACUCAUUGCUCUUGAAGAUAUUGAUAUUAUCAAGUGGUAUGCAGGAGUAGGGAGAAGGUGGCUUGAUUUCUUCUGUUGCUGUCACAACUUCAAGAUGGUUAAAACUGUAGUAACUUAUCACUUGAGGUUCUCUUGCAUUUUGACACUAGCAGAGAAGCAUGAGUCAACCAAACGUGAAGCCAUUAAGCAUUACACUAAAGAUUUGAAGGUCUCUGAUUUUAAUGGAAAUGAAGAAGUGUACUUCCCCACAGAAAGAGAGGUUAAAAUGAUGGGAGAUCAAAAUCUUUUGGAUCCAAGGCCUGUUGAUGGGGCUUUAUCUUUGGCUUUGAUCAGUUUUCUACAUAAUUGGCAUUGGUUCUGGUGGCUGCUAUUGAUGUGAACCUUGUUCUAGAAAUUCUUAUGUAUUUCUUUUCUGAAAUGAGGCCAGGCAGCAUUGUGACUGUCAUGCUCACCACACCAGCUGUUUGAUCCUUAAUUUGUAGUUUGAUUCUUAAUUUGUAGUUUGAUUCAUACAAACCCCACAGAAACCCUCACAAAACCCCAACUCAAAGCCGUAGUUCUUACUCUAUACUCACAUGUCACAUUCUCCAAUCUUGUCUCAAAUGUCCUUGCUUUGCCCAAUGUGCUCCUCACUGCCUGCCAAAACAUCACAACUCCACAACCCAACAAUGGCCUCAGCUCCCUUGACUCACAGUCCCUUCUACACUCGGUCUCGAGGCGGUUUGAUAUUGAAGAAAUGGGCUGCUAGCUCUGCGAGAAUCGGUUCGAUAUUGAAGCUUGUUUUUUCACAAUGAUGCCCUCAAGAAUGAAAGUUGAGUCCUUGGUCUUGCCCAACUUGAAAUUAAAGGUUUUGAUUGAAGCUAUUAGGAUGGUGUUGGAAAUUGUGUAUGAUGAACGGUUUGUUAAUUUUUAUUAUGGUGAGCGUGUCGGUAUGGGACGCCACACCGCCAUUAGGUACCUUAAGAACUCAGUAGAGAAUCCUAGUUGGUGGUUUAGUGUCACAUUUGAUUGAAAUUUUUUUGAUAAUAGGCAUGUAAAUAAGCUGUGUUUGUUUAUUGAAGAGAAAAUAAAGGAUGGUUUCUUUGUCGGUAUUACAAAGAGGUUGGUUUGAGUGUGAGGUGGUGGGAAUUGAAUUGGGUGGUUGUUACUUAGGAAGGGGGUUUCCUCAUGAAAGCGGGUUGUUUUCGAUUUUGAUUAAUAUUUACUUUAAUGGGUUUGAUAAAUAAAUUCAAGAUAUGCGUCUUCAGAAAAAUCAGGAGAAUACAAAGUUUGAAUCAGAGGAGCUUAUUUCGGUGUCUCAGUGAAGAUGUAUGUGGUCAGGUAUUUGGAUGAAAUAUUAGUGAUCACUUCAGGUUCAAAGAUGUUUAGUUCAAAGAUGUUGACCAUGGAUUUGAAGCAUUGGGUUUUAAAAUAUUUAGAAGGGGGGUUGGAGUUGAAGGUGGAUAGAAUGAAGAAAUUGACUACACUUUGUUUGCAGAUGUGGACUGAAUGUUGCUUGUUCUGCUGCAGUUUCCUAUGUAAUUGGCUUUGGUUCUAGAGGCUGCUGAUGUUCUGAAACCUUAUUCAAGAAAUUCUUGUGUAUUUCAUUUCUGAAAUGAAACCAGGUACAUGUUGAGAGCUGUUCUCAAGUACUGUAGGGCUGAAAAAUGAGCCAAGCUGCUCGCAAGCAGCUCGAUCAAAGUUUGCUUGGCCUGUUUGUUAAGCAAGAUGAUCUGAGCUUGAACUAUGUUCUGAGCUUAAGCAUCAUUAUGCUCAGCUUGUCAGCCCAUGAUCUGGCUUGAUAGAGUGUCUCCAUCAUAGAUCUGAUCUGAGGGAAUAUUCUUCUCAAACUGAUCUGAGUAUUUCAUUUUGGGAAUUAACCACAGACAGCACAUUCUUCUUAAUUUAUCUGUUUUUUAAUCUGUGGGAUU